rnacentral:rRNA from 2 species
GGGUUGUGAGGUUAAGCGACUAAGCGUACACGGUGGAUGCCCUGGCAGUCAGAGGCGAUGAAGGGCGUGCUAAUCUGCGAUAAGCGCCGGUAAGGUGAUAUGAACCGUUAUAACCGGCGAUACCCGAAUGGGGAAACCCAGUGUGACUCGUCACACUAUCAUUAACUGAAUCCAUAGGUUAAUGAGGCGAACCGGGGGAACUGAAACAUCUAAGUACCCCGAGGAAAAGAAAUCAACCGAGAUUCCCCCAGUAGCGGCGAGCGAACGGGGAGGAGCCCAGAGCCUGAAUCAGCAUGUAUGUUAGUGGAAGCGUCUGGAAAGGCGCGCGAUACAGGGUGACAGCCCCGUACACAAAAGCGCAUGUGCUGUGAGCUCGAUGAGUAGGGCGGGACACGUGGUAUCCUGUCUGAAUAUGGGGGGACCAUCCUCCAAGGCUAAAUACUCCUGACUGACCGAUAGUGAACCAGUACCGUGAGGGAAAGGCGAAAAGAACCCCGGCGAGGGGAGUGAAAAAGAACCUGAAACCGUGUACGUACAAGCAGUGGGAGCACAGGUUUACCUGUGUGACUGCGUACCUUUUGUAUAAUGGGUCAGCGACUUAUAUUCUGUAGCAAGGUUAACCGUAUAGGGGAGCCGUAGGGAAACCGAGUCUUAAC